AAAAUUCUUCGGGGUAGGGUGCAAGUCCCAACCGGCGGUAAAGUCCGCGACCUGCCUGGGAACAGGUGGCUGAACUGGUGAGAUUCCAGUACCGACAGUAUAGUCUGGAUGAGAGAAGAAUCAU
rfam:Lachnospiraceae bacterium 9_1_43BFAA genomic scaffold supercont1.3, whole genome shotgun sequence.